rnacentral:rRNA from 1 species
GAUGAACGCUGGCGGCGUGCCUAAUACAUGCAAGUCGAGCGAACAGACGAGGCGCUUGCUCCUCUGACGUUAGCGGCGGACGGGUGAGUCACACGUGGAUAACCUACCUAUCAGACUGGGAUAACUUCGGGAAACCGGAGCUAAUACCGGAUAAUAUAUUGAACCACAUGGUUCAAUAGUGAAAGUCGGUUUUGCUGUCACUUAUCGAUGGAUCCGCGCCGCAUUGGCUAGUUGGUAAGGUCACGGCUUACGAAGGCAGCGAGGCGUAGACGACCUGAUAGGGGGAUAGGCGACACUGGAACGUGAACACCGUCCAUACUCCUGCGGGAGGCAGCAGUAGGGAACCGGCCGCAAUGGGCGAAAGCCUUACGGAGUAACGCCGCGUGAGAUAUGAAGGUCUUCGGAGCGUAAAACUCUGUUAUUAGGGAAGAACAAAUUUGUAAGUAACUAUGCACGUCUUGACGGUACCUAAUCAGAAAGCCACGGCUAACUACGUG